UAGUAGUAGUAGUAAGGCAUGAAUAUAUAGCAACACAUGUAUUGCUCUUUAAGUCAGACACAAACUUGACCAUCUAUUAGGCAAAUCUAUCUGAUGUCCUCAAUGACAUAACUGCUUCAGAGCAAUAAAACAUCAUGCAGCAGUAAGUAUCCCACUCAGCAGUUAAAGUAAUUGCCAUACUGACUACACGAUUCACUGGAGAGUAGGGGAAAUUCUCUCUCACCCACAGACUGAGUGAUUUUGAAACAGCUAGCUUGACCAUUAGACUUGCAGCCAAGACCCUGCGAAGUUCACUCGUUUGCUCAUUAAACAAACUUAGUAUUUAUGUGCGUAUUAGCAUCAGACUCCUGUACUAAUUAUAUCAGUUUCCUGAAAAAGUGGCCUGUGUUAAGGGUUUCUGCAGCUUUCAGUUUUUAAUUUGGAGGUGUGCCAAUGAAUGUGACAGAAGGAAAUGGAAGUCAUGUUACAAAGUUCUUCUCAUGGCUUGAUUUCUUGGUGUUUGGUAUCAUGCUCUGUCUGUCAGCUCUCAUUGGGGUGUACUUUGCUUUCUUUGCCAAGAAGAAACAGAACACAACAGCUGAGUACCUCAUGGGAGGCAAAACAAUGGGCAUAUUCCCAAUUUCUAUGUCACUAAUUGCAAGUUACAUUUCAGGCAUAUCUCUAUUGGGUUUACCAGCUGAGAUGUAUAUGUACGGAACACAGUACUGGAUGGUCAUGUGCCCAGAGGCAUUUGUCAGCAUCACUAUGGCAUUGGUCUACCUACCAGUGUUCUACAAGCUGCAGAUCACAUCGUCCUAUGAGUAUCUGAACCUCCGAUUCAGUCCAGCAGUGCGGUUGAUGGGAUCCAUUAUAUUCCUUGUCAAAAUGCUACUGUUCAUUCCCAUUGUCAUCUAUGUGCCAGCUUUGGCCUUCAGUCAAGUGACUGGCAUUAACCUUCAUUUAAUUACCCCGAUUGUGUGUGUUGUGUGCAUAUUCUACACCAUGCUGGGAGGCCUGAAGGCUGUUGUCUGGACAGACACUCUACAGACAUUCAUCAUGUUUGGUGGUGUAAUCAUUGUCAUGAUACUGGGAACAAUAAAUGUUGGUGGUCCUGGUGUUGUGUGGGAGCGCAGCCAGCAGAGUGAUCGCCUUGAAUUUUUCAACUUCAACAUGGACCCCACCAUAAGGCACACAUUUUGGAAUAUUUCUUUUGGCAAUUACUUCUACUGGCUGGCGUCAUGUUCUGUUAAUCAAGCCAUGGUCCAACGCUGCCUUGCUAUGCCAACCAUCUACAAAGCCAACAUAACAAUCCUGAUCCUGGCACUUGGAAUCCUGGGGAUUGUCACCAUGAGCUGUUACACAGGACUCGUGAUCUAUGCAACAUUCCAUGACUGUGACCCGGUCAGCACACAUACGAUUCAGAAGGCUGACCAACUUCUGCCAUACUUUGUGAUGCAAAUAUCAGAUUCUGUACCUGGCCUGCCAGGCAUAUUUCUGUCUGGAGUGUUUAGUGCAGCACUGAGCUCAAUGUCCACAGGCCUGAAUUCAAUGACUGGGGUGAUAUUUGAGGAUUUGAUCCGACCAGUGGUCAAGGAGCGCAUCUCUGAGUCACGUGCCAGCCUCAUCAUGAAGGUGAUAGUGGCUGUGAUUGGUACAGUGUGUGUAGGGAUGGUGUUUGUAGUGGAGAACAUGGGCACACUUGUACAGGCUGCAAAGAGUAUGACAGGCAUCACAGCUGGUUCCCUAUUAGGCGUUUUCUCAAUGGGAAUGUUUUUCCCAUGGGCUAAUGCAAAAGGAGCACUGGUGGGUGGUGUUAUCAGCAUGGUAUUUGUUGGUUGGAUAUCAAUAGGAAGCCAGAUCUCCAUUGCCAAGGGACAGAUCAAGUUCCCCACAAAACCAGUGUCAGUUGAGGGCUGUGACAUUGAGUUCCUGAACAAUACAGUCAAGUCCACAGCAAUACCAGGAACAGUGAAUGAGCCACUGUACAUCUACAGGAUAUCCUACACAUUGUACACUAUGAUUGGUGUGGCAACUGCCAUCAUUGUGGGUCUGGUGGUUAGCUUUCUUACGAAGCCCAAUAACUCUGAGGAUGUUGACCCUGACCUGCUCACACCAGUCAUACAUAGAUUCCUGCCAUCCAAGGUCAAACACAUUGAACUUCAGGCCCAUAAACAGGAUAGUACAUCCCUCUGAAGCAUGGGUAAAGUUCUACCAGACUACACGCCAUCACCCAGAAGACAGUACUGUUCGUAAUCUCUGCUGUGAGAACCUCAAAUUCAGUGUAAGAGGACAUAGCAGAACUUCAGAAAUCGCCAUUUGAACAUCAGCUUAAAGACUAACUGGAACAGACAAGAAGUUGUGAUGGGAUAUAAGAAUUAAAGCACUAAACUCUCUGGUUUGUUGCUGUGGUUGUUUUAUUUUGUUGCCCACCUUUCAUAGUCGUCAAACAUUAUUACAUCUCAGACCAUAUCAGUUUUGCAUACAGAUUUAUUUAAAAAAGCAGUCAUAAUAUCAUGUUCUUUGUACAAUUAUGUAAUUAGAAAUUAACACUUAUUUACAAUGAGAGUACUUGAACUCAGGAGGGGAAAUUUAUAUCAAUGUAGAAAA